CCUACGGGAGGCAGCAGUGAGGAAUAUUGGUCAAUGGGCGUAAGCCUGAACCAGCCAAGUCGCGUGAGGGAUGAAGGUUCUAUGGAUCGUAAACCUCUUUUAUAAGGGCAUAAAGUGUGGGACGUGUCCUGUUUUGUAUGUACCUUAUGAAUAAGGAUCGGCUAACUCCGUGCCAGCAGCCGCGGUAAUACGGAGGAUCCGAGCGUUAUCCGGAUUUAUUGGGUUUAAAGGGUGCGUAGGCGGCCUUUUAAGUCAGCGGUGAAAGUCUGUGGCUCAACCAUAGAAUUGCCGUUGAGACUGGGAGGCUUGAGUAUGUUUGAGGCAGGAGGAAUGCGUGGUGUAGCGGUGAAAUGCUUAGAUAUCACGCAGAACCCCGAUUGCGAAGGCAGCCUGCCAAGCCAUGACUGACGCUGAGGCACGAAAGCGUGGGGAUCAAACAGGAUUAGAUACCCCAGUAGUC
rnacentral:rRNA from 1 species